GAUGAACGCUGGCGGCGUGCCUAAUACAUGCAAGUCGAGCGAACAGAUAAGGAGCUUGCUCCUUUGACGUUAGCGGCGGACGGGUGAGUAACACGUGGGUAACCUACCUAUAAGACUGGGAUAACUUCGGGAAACCGGAGCUAAUACCGGAUAAUAUUUCGAACCGCAUGGUUCGAUAGUGAAAGAUGGUUUUGCUAUCACUUAUAGAUGGACCCGCGCCGUAUUAGCUAGUUGGUAAGGUAACGGCUUACCAAGGCGACGAUACGUAGCCGACCUGAGAGGGUGAUCGGCCACACUGGAACUGAGACACGGUCCAGACUCCUACGGGAGGCAGCAGUAGGGAAUCUUCCGCAAUGGGCGAAAGCCUGACGCAGCAACGCCGCGUGAGUGAUGAAGGUCUUCGGAUCGUAAAACUCUGUUAUUAGGGAAGAACAUACGUGUAAGUAACUGUGCACGUCUUGACGGUACCUAAUCAGAAAGCCACGGCUAACUACGUG
rnacentral:rRNA from 1 species